UCAAAGCAAAUAAAUAAAUUUUGAGCAUGAUACAUGCAUCACGUAUGCCAUGAGAUAUACUAGGUUGUUUGCAUUAGAAUUCACGAAUAUGUUGCAUUGCAUUAUUUGAUGUUGAUGUGGAUGGAUGUUGGAUGAUCCUUUAGUCCUCGUAUGAUAUGAUAUGAUGAUGAUACGGUAUGGAAGGCCAGUGAGGCCCAUUCUAUGCUCAUGGCACCAUGUUAAGAGAAAGACCAGUGAGGCCCAUUCUACGCUCCUGGCACUAUGAAAUG
rnacentral:lncRNA from 1 species